GAUGAACGCUAGCGGGAGGCCUAACACAUGCAAGCCGAGCGGUAGAGUCUCUUCGGAGACUUGAGAGCGGCGCACGGGUGCGGAACACGUGUGCAACCUGCCUUUAUCUGGGGGAUAGCCUUUCGAAAGGAAGAUUAAUACCCCAUAAUAUACUGGAUGGCAUCAUCUGGUAUUGAAAACUCCGGUGGAUAGAGAUGGGCACGCGCAAGAUUAGAUAGUUGGUGAGGUAACGGCUCACCAAGUCAGCGAUCUUUAGGGGGCCUGAGAGGGUGAUCCCCCACACUGGUACUGAGACACGGACCAGACUCCUACGGGAGGCAGCAGUGAGGAAUAUUGGACAAUGGGUGAGAGCCUGAUCCAGCCAUCCCGCGUGUAGGACGACGGCCCUAUGGGUUGUAAACUUCUUUUGUAUAGGGAUAAACCUAGAUACGUGUAUCUAGCUGAAGGUACUAUACGAAUAAGCACCGGCUAACUCCGUG
rnacentral:rRNA from 1 species